CUCCGGGCUCCGUGCAACGGGCGGCUGUAAACCCCGCCAGGUCCGGAAGGAAGCAACGGUAGCGGCUUAACCCGUGUGCCGCGGAUCACCCGGGGUCU
rnacentral:SRP_RNA from 1 species